AUGCAGCAGACGCAAGAGAUGCAGGUUCAAUCCCUGGGUGGUGAAGAUCCCCUGGAGAAGGAAAUGGCAAUCCACUCCAGUAUUCUUGCCUGGGGAAUUCCACUGGACAGAGGAGCCUGGCGGGCUACAGUCCAUGGGGUCACACAGAGUUGGACACGACUGAGCACUUGCAGCAGUAAUAGCAGCCGCCUGCAUUUUCAGGUUGGAAGCUGCCGUGACCGAGUGUGUCUCCCUGAGGGUCAGUGGCAAUGGGCUGGCUGGCCUCACUCUGGGACACAGUGGGUGAGCCCUGGGCAGUGGAGGCCCCCAAUCCCGCAUCCCCCACCCCCUACCCCAGGGAAGCCUGGCUUACCAUGCACGCCCACCGCAGGGUCGGGCAGCACCACGUGGGCAUGCAGCUCCUGCAGCUGCUGGUGCAGCAGGUCAAGCCUGCGUGAGGAGCCGCGCAGCACCAGCUCCACAGGGCCCAGGUUACGGCCCAGCGUCGCUGGCCAUGUCCACACGCAGCCCGCCAGGGGUCCCCGCGCGGAGGGAGGGGCGCUGAGAGGAGCGCGCGUGCGCCCCGCACGGGGCGGGGCGGGGGGCGGGCGCGGCGCGACGCCCCCCACAAGGCGCAGGGCCGGCUCCGGCCUGCUCGGCUCGGGCCGCGCCUGGCCUGGCCGCCGAGUCCGCGCGCCGCGCCCUCCGGCCCCAGCGGCCGCCGGGCCCGGUCACGUGACCACCGAGGUCGGCGCCCGGGGAGGGGGCGGGGCCGAGGGGCGGGGCUCCCGACGGCCCCCGGGGCUGCGGGGUCCUGGCCGCCGUGCGCCCCCCUCCGGAGCGGAAGCUGCCGGGUCUGUUUCGCUCGCCUUUCCUUCUUUCGGAUUUCUCCCUUUUCCCACGGGUCACCCGAUUGAGCGCGCGGGAAUCCAAAGGAAAAGAGGGAGCCACGUUAAAGCGGAGAGCUGUGGAGGCCUUUGGACCUCCCGGGACCUCCUCUCAAAAAAACAAAAACAACUCAUUUUCUCCCUGUGUUUGCAAGUUCAGGCUUUCUUGGAACAGUCUGUCAUUCAAGGGCACCGGAGCUUCCCCCACAGGCUUGAGACAAGCUCUGAGCAGACUUGUGUUCAAAUUCCAGCACCCUAUGCCUUGGGGGAGUCCCCCAAACCUAACAGCCCCUUAUCUGUAAAAAAAAAAAAAAGAAAGAAAAAGAAGAAGAAGGAUUGA
rnacentral:lncRNA from 1 species